rnacentral:other from 1 species
UUCUCUGAGAUGUUCGUCUGCGGGCCAGUCCCCUGAGCCGAUAUUUCAAACCACAAGAAUGUGACGCUCUGCAGCCGGUGUGCAUGCCCGGUUCGUCCGGGAAGCCUGAAGGCUGCGACGAAGCAUUCACCUUGAACCACGGGUUCAAGGGUUACAGCCUGCGACGGCAUCUCGGAGAUU